ensembl:snRNA U6 U6 spliceosomal RNA
GUGCUUGCUUCUGCAGCACAUACACUGUAAUUGGACCAAACGCAGAUUAGCAUGGACCCCACACGAUGAUGAAACGCAAAUACUGUGAAGUGUUCCACAUCUUC